rnacentral:sRNA from 19 species
AAAAUCCAUUUUGCGGACGUUACCAUAUCAAUUAAUAAGGGAGUGAGGUAGUCCAGAUAAGGACUUCUUAUUCUGCGGGUAAUAUGCUUUGCGUAGACUCAACAUAAUAAAAAACGGCCUGGAGAUGAUGU